rnacentral:rRNA from 1 species
AGUGAACGCUGGCGGUAGGCCUAACACAUGCAAGUCGAACGGCAGCACAGUAAGAGCUUGCUCUUACGGGUGGCGAGUGGCGGACGGGUGAGGAAUACAUCGGAAUCUACUUUUUCGUGGGGGAUAACUAGGGAAAAUUACGCCUAAUACGGAUUCGGCCUACGGGGUAAAACAGGGGAUCUUCGGAACUUGCGGGAUUGGAUGGGCCGAUGUCGGAUUAGCUAGUUGGCGGGGUAAAGGCCCACCAAGGCGACGAUCCGUAGCUGGUCUGAGAGGAUGAUCAGCCACACUGGAACUGAGACACGGUCCAGACUCCUACGGGAGGCAGCAGUGGGGAAUAUUGGACAAUGGGCGCAAGCCUGAUCCAGCCAUACCGCGUGGGUGAAGAAGGCCUUCGGGUUGUAAAGCCCUUUUGUUGGGAAAGAAAAGCAGCAGGUUAAUACCCCGCUGUUCUGACGGUACCCAAAGAAUAAGCACCGGCUAACUUCGUG